rnacentral:rRNA from 1 species
UAGGGAAUCUUCGGCAAUGGACGAAAGUCUGACCGAGCAACGCCGCGUGAGUGAAGAAGGUUUUCGGAUCGUAAAACUCUGUUGUUAGAGAAGAACAAGGACGUUAGUAACUGAACGUCCCCUGACGGUAUCUAACCAGAAAGCCACGGCUAACUACGUGCCAGCAGCCGCGGUAAUACGUAGGUGGCAAGCGUUGUCCGGAUUUAUUGGGCGUAAAGCGAGCGCAGGCGGUUUCUUAAGUCUGAUGUGAAAGCCCCCGGCUCAACCGGGGAGGGUCAUUGGAAACUGGGGGACUUGAGUGCAGAAGAGGAGAGUGGAAUUCCAUGUGUAGCGGUGAAAUGCGUAGAUAUAUGGAGGAACACCAGUGGCGAAGGCGGCUCUCUGGUCUGUAACUGACGCUGGGGCUCGAAAGCGUGGGGAGCAAACAGG